UGGGGAAUAUUGCACAAUGGGCGGAAGCCUGAUGCAGCAACGCCGCGUGCGGGAUGACGGCCUUCGGGUUGUAAACCGCUUUCAGUAGGGACGAAGCGCAAGUGACGGUACCUACAGAAGAAGCACCGGCUAACUACGUGCCAGCAGCCGCGGUGAUACGUAGGGUGCGAGCGUUGUCAGGAAUUAUUGGGCGUAAAGAGCUUGUAGGCGGUUGGUUGCGUCGUAAGUGAAAACUCAGGGCUUAUCCCUGGGCUUGCUUGCGAUACGGGCUGACUUGAGGAAGGUAGGGGAGAAUGGAAUGCCCGGUGGAGCUGUGGAAUGCGCAGAUAUCGGGAGGAACACCAGUGGCUAAGGCGGUUCUCUGGACCUUUCCUGACGCUGAGAAGCGAAAGCGUGGGGAGCAAACA
rnacentral:rRNA from 1 species